rnacentral:lncRNA from 1 species
CAGAUAAAAUGGUGCUGGCCAAGUGGAAAGCUGAUUUGUUUAAUAAGAUUAGGGUGGAGUGGCCAGCCUUCCCUGUGUGCUAUGUAAACGUCACACCGUUCCAACCAAUCUGUGAGCCCUGUGUAACUCAGACACCGCCUCCUCAAGCCUGCCUAUGAAAUCCGGUGCACUCCACCACCGGCCAGUCUUUUCCUCUCAGAAGCCCCUCUCUCACGCUAGAAAGAGAGUUAUUUUCCUUUGUCUUUCUUUUGCCUAUUAAACCUCUGCUCCUAAACUCCUCCUCGUGUGUAUCUGAGUCCUAAAUCUUCUUUGCACAAGACAACGAACCCCGGCUACUUACCCCAGAGAACAGUGUCACUUCACAUGAACUUUGAGAGGAAGAGAAGAGACACCAGCGAUACACAUGCAUAGAAGAAAAACAAUGUAAGACACAGUGAGAAAAUGGCCAUUGAAAGCCAAGGAGAGAAGCCUCAGGAGAAAUCAAAACUACCAACACCUUGAUCUUGGACUUCCAGCUUCCAAAACCAGGAGAAAAUUAAUUUCUGUUGUUUAAGCCACCCAGGUAUUUUGUUUAUGGCAGCCCUAGAAGACUAAUAGAAUACAUUAUAUUGAAUUUAUGUGUACCUAUCUUUUUUCAAGUAGACCAUGAAUCAGAAAAAGGUCAAUUCCAUUCCUACUUUGUAUUUCUAGCAUCCAAUACAGCU